AUUGAACGCUGGCGGAAUGCUUUACACAUGCAAGUCGAACGGUAGAGGGGGCGACCCCUUGAGAGUGGCGAACGGGUGAGUAAUAUAUCGGAACGUGCCCAGUCGUGGGGGAUAACGUAGCGAAAGUUACGCUAAUACCGCAUACGAUCUAAGGAUGAAAGCGGGGGACCGUAAGGCCUCGCGCGAUUGGAGCGGCCGAUAUCAGGUUAGGUAGUUGGUGAGGUUAAGGCUCACCAAGCCAACGAUCUGUAGCUGGUCUGAGAGGACGACCAGCCACACUGGAACUGAGACGCGGUCCAGACUCCUACGGGAGGCAGCAGUGGGGAAUUUUGGACAAUGGACGCAAGUCUGACCCAGCCAUUCCGCGUGCAGGAUGAAGGCCCUCGGGUUGUAAACUGCUUUUGUACGGAACGAAAAGAUCUCUCCUAAUACGAGGGGCUCAUGACGGUACCGUAAGAAUAAGCACCGGCUAACUACGUGCCAGCCGCCGCCGUAA
rnacentral:rRNA from 1 species